CAUAAGGGAGCUUGACUGUGAGAGAGACAUCUCGAACAGGUACGAAAGUAGGUCUUAGUGAUCCGGCGGUUCCGCAUGGAAGGGCCGUCGCUCAACGGAUAAAAGGUACUCCGGGGAUAACAGGCUUAUCGCGCCCAAGAGUUCACAUCGACGGCGCGGUUUGGCACCUCGAUGUCGGCUCAUCGCAUCCUGGGGCUGGAGCAGGUCCCAAGGGUUUGGCUGUUCGCCAAUUAAAGCGGUACGUGAGCUGGGUUUAGAACGUCGUGAGACAGUUCGGUCCCUAUCUUUCGUGGGCGCAGGAUAUUUGAGAGGAUCUUUCCCUAGUACGAGAGGACCGGGAUGGACGAACCUCUGGUGUUCCAGUUGUCGCGCCAGCGGCAUAGCUGGGUAGCUACGUUCGGAAUGGAUAACCGCUGAAAGCAUCUAAGUGGGAAGCCAACCUCAAGAUAAGAUAUCCCCAUUUUGUGGAGACACAAGAUCUGAAGACCCCUUGUAGACGACAAGGUUGAUAGGCCAGGUGUGUAAGUACAGUAAUGUAUUUAGCUAACUGGUACUAAUCGGUCGUGAGGCUUGGCCAU
rnacentral:ncRNA from 1 species